UACAGAGGGGGCAAGCGUUGUUCGGAAUUACUGGGCGUAAAGCGCACGUAGGCGGCUUUGUAAGUUAGAGGUGAAAGCCCGGGGCUCAACCCCGGAAUUGCCUUUAAGACUGCAUCGCUUGAAUCCGGGAGAGGUGAGUGGAAUUCCGAGUGUAGAGGUGAAAUUCGUAGAUAUUCGGAAGAACACCAGUGGCGAAGGCGGCUCACUGGACCGGCAUUGACGCUGAGGUGCGAAAGCGUGGGGAGCAAACAGG
rnacentral:rRNA from 1 species